rnacentral:rRNA from 1 species
CUACGGGACGCUGCAGUGAGGAAUAUUGCACAAUGGGGGGAACCCUGAUGCAGCAACGCCGCGUGGAGGAUGACGCAUUUCGGUGUGUAAACUCCUUUUAUAUGUCAAGAAAAUGACGGUAGCAUAUGAAUAAGCACCGGCUAACUCCGUGCCAGCAGCCGCGGUAAUACGGAGGGGUGGCAAGCGUUCUCGGAAUCACUGGGCGUAAAGGACGCGUAGGCGGGUUGGAAAGUCAGGUGUGAAAUCCUACAGCUUAACUGUAGAACUGCACUUGAAACUUCUAAUCUAGAGUAUGGGAGGGGGAGAUGGAAUUAGUGGUGUAGGGGUAAAAUCCGUAGAUAUCACUAGGAAUACCUAAAGCGAAGGCGAUCUCCUGGAACAUUACUGACGCUAAGGCGUGAAAGCGUGGGGAGCAAACAGGAUUAGAUACCCUCGUAGUC